rnacentral:rRNA from 1 species
UACGGAGGGUGCGAGCGUUGUUCGGAAUUACUGGGCGUAAAGCGCGUGUAGGCGGCCUCUUCAGUCUGGUGUGAAAGCCCGGGGCUCAACCCCGGAAGUGCAUUGGAUACUGGGAGGCUGGAGUACCGGAGAGGAGGGUGGAAUUCCUGGUGUAGCGGUGAAAUGCGUAGAUAUCAGGAGGAACACCUGUGGCGAAGGCGGCCCUCUGGACGGAUACUGACGCUGAGACGCGAAAGCGUGGGGAGCAAACAGGAUUAGAAACCCUGGUAGU